GUUAAGUUUUACUUUUGCCUUCUUAAAAAGGGCAGAACUUUUUUUCAAAAAAUAGUUAAAUUAGUAGCUACAAUUUUGGAGCACCUCUUGUGUAUUAGAAACAAUAUACUACAUACCUUAUAGAGUCGUAUCUUUAUUCUCAUUUUAUGAAGGUGCAAUGUAAAGGUUCAAUAACUCAACAUUUUGAAUCCAAGGUUUGAACCUUAUUCUUAUUGCUCCAUUCUUCUGGUGUUUCCCCACUCUACAAGCUUCCUUUUAAUAGUUGUACUCUGAAGCAGCCCCUGGCGAGUACUAAUUCCAGGAGAACACUUUGUUCCCCUUCCACCUCCCUUCAUGUUCCCCUUCGCGGGACACCACAAGAGACCUUGAAGGUUGGGACAUUGUGGGGGUUCCUCUUUUAAAAUGAGAAGCUUGCUGCGAAAUCUAGCAUAGCAGCUGAAAGAUACUAGUAAAUGUUUUCCAAACAAAAAUCCCUCAGUGAAUCAAAGAAAAAAAGGUAUAAUUUUCUGUUGGUAAAUGCAACAUGCACAAGUUAUUUGAAACAGCUGGUUCGAGUGGAAAUGAAUGACUUCCCCAGGGUCAAAAUCUGACAGAAGUUGGAAACCUGCAGUUGUUUGGAAGAAAUAAGCCAUGUAUAGACCAGGAAAUCAACUGAUGACUAGGAAAGGAUGGGAAAGAUGAUAAGGUCUCAGUUCUCAUGUGGAGGAGUGGGAGAUUGGAGAACUCCACAUCCAUUUGAAGUAAAAGAGCUGCAGAUUACCUUGAGAACUGGUGGUUAUUCCAUUGUCUUGCCUAAUUUCUGGAAAAGGGACUUAUUUACAGCCAAGCAUCAGUAAAGGGAAAUUUAUGGUAAAG
rnacentral:lncRNA from 1 species